AUUGAACGCUGGCGGCAUGCUUUACACAUGCAAGUCGAACGGUAACAGGUUAAGCUGACGAGUGGCGAACGGGUGAGUAAUGCAUCGGAACGUGCCCGAUCGUGGGGGAUAACGCAGCGAAAGCUGCGCUAAUACCGCAUACGAUCCGAGGAUGAAAGCGGGGGACCGUAAGGCCUCGCGCGAUCGGAGCGGCCGAUGUCAGAUUAGGUAGUUGGUGGGGUAAAGGCUCACCAAGCCAACGAUCUGUAGCUGGUCUGAGAGGACGACCAGCCACACUGGGACUGAGACACGGCCCAGACGCCUACGGGAGGCAGCAGUGGGGAAUUUUGGACAAUGGGCGAAAGCCUGAUCCAGCAAUGCCGCGUGCAGGGAGAAGGCCUUCGGGUUGUAAACUGCUUUUGUACGGAGCGAAAAGGCCCUCUCUAAUACAGGGGGCUCAUGACGGUACCGUAAGAAUAAGCACCGGCUAACUACGUGCCAGCAGCCGCCGUAACAC
rnacentral:rRNA from 1 species